AUAGGGAGUCGGACCUGCCCAGUGACUAAGUGUUAAACGGCCGCGGUACCCUAACCGUGCAAAGGUAGCAUAAUCAUUUGCCUUUUAAUUGUAGGCUUGUAUGAAUGGUUUGACGAGAGCUAAGCUGUCUCUUUCUUAAUAUUUAAAAAUUAACUUUUAGGUGAAGAGGCCUAAAUAAAACUAAGGGACGAGAAGACCCUAUUGAGCUUUAGUGAAGCAAUAAGUUUUGAGUGUAAUUAAAUUUACGAACUGUUAUAUAUUUAUAGAGUUUUAUUUUGUUGUGAAUCUUUAGUUGGGGCGACUGAGGAACAAAAAAAGCUUCCUUUGUAUUAUAAGAUUUUGAUUUAUUUGAUAUGAUGUUAGCUAGCUAUUUGAUCCAGUAUUUAUUGAUUAAGGGAAAAAGUUACCAUAGGGAUAACAGCGUAAUCUUUCUGGAGAGAUCAUAUCGAAAGGAGGGUUUGCGACCUCGAUGUUGGACUAAGAUAUCCUAAAGGUGUAGAAGCUUUUAAAGGUUGGUCUGUUCGACCAUUAAAAUCUUACGUGAUCUGAG
rnacentral:rRNA from 1 species